GAUGAACGCUGGCGGUAUGCUUAACACAUGCAAGUCGAACGGACUCUUCGGAGUUAGUGGCGGACGGGUGAGUAACGCGUGAGAAUCUGGCUUUGGGUUCGGGACAACCACUGGAAACGGUGGCUAAUACCGGAUGUGCCGAGAGGUAAAAGAGAAAUUGCCUGAAGAUGAGCUCGCGUCUGAUUAGCUAGUUGGUGAGGUAAAGGCUCACCAAGGCAGCGAUCAGUAGCUGGUCUGAGAGGAUGACCAGCCACACUGGGACUGAGACACAGCCCAGACGCCUACGGGAGGAAGCAGUGGAGAAUUUUCCGCAAUGGGCGAAAGCCUGACGGAGCAAUACCGCGUGAGAGAAGAAGGCUCUUGGGUUGUAAACCUCUUUUCUUAGAGAAGAACAAAAUGACGGUACCUAAGGAAUCAGCAUCGGCUAACUCCGUG
rnacentral:rRNA from 1 species